AGUAUUUUUUGAAAAGAGUGAUUUUUGAUUAAUGGUUUCAUAUUUUGUAAUUAUACUUAAGUGUUGGUAAUGAAAAAAGCUUAGCAUGGGGUGCCUAUGCUUACAAAUGCACAUUGAAAGAACCAUAUGGCCGUUGGUAUUCAGUAGAUUGAAACUAGUUCGAUGAAUGGAUAUUAUAAUCAAUAAAAUACGGUAAUCAGGUUUUUGUAUUUUAAGAUCUUAAAAAAUGAUCUUAAAAUACAAAAAUAAGUAUUUUUUUGUUGUUGCAAAAACAGGGGAAUAUAUAAUCUAAAAUGGAGUAAGAAAUUAGGAUAGAAACACGGUGGAAAUAAUUUGGUCAAAACCAUUGUUUGCUGGGCCUAUAAAUGGCAAGAACUCCAUCUCCAUUUGCAUCUAUGUAUGUAUCUAGGGUUCGGGAAGCGGAGCCGAAAAAAUGUAGAAAAGCCAUAUUCGAUUAUAUAAUCUAGGUUUAGUUCUUCUAUCUCUUUAAUCAUCUUCUUAUUAAUUUCUUCUAUAUCAUGUAAGGGCUGGAUGCAGAUAGGGGGGAGCUUUACAUACGGUGGCUCUGAAAACCUGCAGGUACUCCGUAGGAUCCUUGUCAUUCCUUAGCCCUAAACAUUAAAUUUUAAGAUGGUAUCAUAGUACGGAUUUCUUGCUUGAAAGUUGGUUUGUAUUUGAUUGUGAUGUUUGGCGCUUUGCCAAAUUUCCUUUCGCCUACAAUCCCCUUUCAAUUCGUCACAAAUUCGCCUCCAAACGCCAUUACAUUUCUUUCGUUUGCUUAUUAUUAUCUUUCGAUUCUCUGUGUCCUUGUUUACAACAAGUAUUUUUGAAAGGAGUGAUUUUUGAUUCAUGGUUUCAUAUAUUUUAAUUAUACUUUAGUGUUGGUAAUGAAAAAAGCUUAGAUGGCUGUUGGUAUUCAGCAUAUUGAAACUAGUUGAUGAUUGGAUAUUAUAAUCAAUAAAAUCCGGUAAUCAGGUUUUUGUAUUUUAAGAUCUUAAAAAAUGAUCAUAAAAUACAAAAAUAAGUGUUUUUUUUGUUGUUGCAAAAACAGGGGAAUAUAUCAUCCAAAAUUGAGAAAGAAAGUAGGAUAGAAAGACGGUGGAAAUAAUUUGGUCAAAACCAUUACUUGCUGGGCCUAUAAAUGGCAAGAACUCCAUCUACAUCUGCAUCUAUGUAUGUAUCUAGGGUUCGGGAAGCGCAGCCGAAAAAACGUAGAAAAGCCAUAUCCGAUUAUAUAAUCUAGGUUUGGAUUCUUCUAUCUCCUUAACCAUCUUCUUAUUACUUUUUUCUAUACCAUGUAAGGGCUGGAUGCAAAUAGGGGAGAUCUUUAUAUACGAUGGCUCUGAAAAACCUGCAGGUACUUUGUAGGGUGCCUUGUCAUUCCUUAGCCCUAUAUAUUAAAUUUUAAGAUGGUAUCAUAGUACGGAUUUCGUGCUUGAAAGUUGGUUUAUAUUUGAUUGUGAUGUUCGGCGCUUUGCCAAAUUUCCUUUCGCCUACAAUCCCCUUUCAAUUCGUCACAAAUUCGCCUCCAAACGCCAUUACAUUUCUUUCGUUUGCUUAUUAUUAUCUUUCGAUUCUUUAUGUCCUUGUUUACAACAAGUAUUUUUGGAAGGAGUGAUUUUUGAUUCAUGGUUUCAUAUAUUUUAAUUAUACUUUAGUGUUGGUAAUGAAAAAAGCUUAGCAUGGGGUGCCUAUGCUUACAAAUGCAUAUUGAAAGAACCAUAUGGCUGUUGGUAUUCAGCAUAUUGAAACUAGUUGAUGAAUGGAUAUUAUAAUCAAUAAAAUCCGGUAAUCAGUUUUUUGUAUUUUAAGAUCUUAAAAUACAAAAAUAAGUGUUUUUUUUGUUGUUGCAAAAACAGGGGAAUAUAUCAUCCAAAAUGGAGUAAGAAAGUAGGAUAGAAAGAUGGUGGAAAUAAUUUGGUCAAAACCAUUACUUGCUGGGCCUAUAAAUGGCAAGAACUCCAUCUCCAUCUGCAUCUAUGUAUGUAUCUAGGGUUCCGGAAGCGCAGCCGAAAAAACGUAGAAGCUAUAUUCGAUUAUAUAAUCUAGGUUUAGUUCUUCUAUCUCCUUACCAUCUUCUAUAUCAUGUAUGGGCUGGAUGCAAAUAGGGGAGAGCUUUAUAUACGAUGGCUCUGUAAAACCUGCAGGUACUUUGUAGGGUGCCUUGUCAUUUCUUAGCCCUAUACAUUAAAUUUUAAGAUGGUAUCAUAAUACGGAUUUCGUGCUUGAAAGUUGGUUUGUAUUUAAUUGUGAUGUUCGGCGCUUUGCCAAAUUUCCUUUCGCCUACAAUCCCCUUUCAAUUCGUCACAAAUUCGCCUCCAAACGCCAUUACAUUUCUUUCUUUUGCUUAUUAUUAUCGGGUAAAAUGCAAAGUAGACCACUGAAUUUUAGGGGUUUUUG
rnacentral:lncRNA from 1 species